rnacentral:misc_RNA from 1 species
AAAGUCGUAACAAGGUUUCCGUAGGUGAACCUGCGGAAGGAUCAUUAAUGAUUGACCGUCUGUCGAGCUUACUCACAGGCACAUCAUAUCCAUAACACCUGUGCACUUGUCGGAUGGCUUAGUGAAGACCGCAAGGUUGAAUCUAUCCAUCUACUUUACAUAACAAUUCUGUAACAAAUGUAGUCUUAUUAUAACAUAAUAAAACUUUCAACAACGGAUCUCUUGGCUCUC